GACAGAGGGUGCAAACGUUGCUCGGAAUCACUGGGCGUAAAGGGUGUGUAGGCGGGAAGUAAAGUCAGAUGUGAAAUCCCUGGGCUCAACCCAGGAACUGCAUUUGAAACUCACUUUCUUGAGUACCGGAGAGGAAGGUGGAAUACCUGGUGUAGAGGUGAAAUUCGUAGAUAUCAGGUGGAACACCAGUGGCGAAGGCGGCCUUCUGGACGGUAACUGACGCUGAGACGCGAAAGCGUGGGGAGCAAACAGG
rnacentral:rRNA from 1 species